ACAACUUCCCAAUCACUAUCUACGCCACUGGGAAUCCUUGUUUUCAGAUUAGAAAUCUAGAAAACUUCUCUUUGAUCUAUAAAUCUCUGAAAGGAAUCCCCUGUGGGUCUCACCUUAACUGCUUCAAUUGCUUGGAACCUUUAGACUUGAGCAGUGGUCUCAAUUUUUUUUUCUGAAGCUGCGAAAAAGACCCAAAGCCACAAAAGAAGCCGAAGCUGAAGCCCCGUAGCCGUGAAAAGACUCAAAGCCACGAAAGGAGACUAAGGAUCAGGUGUGUGUACGGCAAAGCUGCAGCACAAAAAAUGUGAAUGUCAAAAUCCAGCAACUAAAGCCUAGCGAGUUUCUGUAGCAGGCAAUGACCAAGAUAGCAACUUAUUGGACCAUGUAAGCUGCCAACUGAUGGGCUUGCCUGACAAAUAUCUGGCAAAGUUGCUGGGAAAAAGAAACUAGAGGAAAGAGGUAUCAGAUCCCUCUCUUGGCACAGGUGCCCACAGCCUCAAGCAACGAGAUUGGGUCCUAGUCAAGAAGUUUCUGAGAAAGCACUGUUUGGAGCCCAAAUUUGAUGGCCCCUUCCAAGUUCUCCUUACCACAUCUACUUCAGUGAAGCUAGAAGGAAAACCCACCUGGAUCCAUGCCUCACACUGCAAGAAAGCAGAUGCACCUAAGGAACCAGAUAUUGCUCUAUAUCCUUUACCUACUGCCCCUGGGACUAGCCCAGGAGGUGGCAAUACGCAAGACAAGUGCAGGACAAUUCUGGUAAAACUCCUCUAGCACCCAUGUAGCAACUUACACCUUUAGUGCCCUAGGCAGGAAUAAUAAGGAUGGUAAAUACUUGAUCAAUAGAAUGGCUAUUACUAAACGUUUUGCAACUGUCAAAUUGAAUAUUUCCUUCCCAGGGAUAGUCAGGUUUAUAAAGUUGGUAGGGUUGGUCCCUGGCUUUGUGCAGGCCUCUCCAGGCUAAGCUGAACAUCCAUACCCACCCUUAUGGUGUAUUCCCUCUGGAGCAACUUGCAAACUUCUAUAUAGGUAGGGACAGCAAAAUAGACAUUUUUAGGGGGGAUUGUGGAGGACAGGUAACAGUGUUACUUUAUUAUCUCUCAGGUAAAAAGUCUAUUUUACUGUUAUGCUGUGCAUUUUCAUUUAUUUCCUUGAUCAGCUAUUUGCAAAACCAUAUAUCACAAACUGCUAGAUGAAACCAAGUUACAACCUCUCCAGGAGUCAGUCUGAACACGUCAUGACGGCUUGUGGUCAUGACACUCUGCACCUAACAAACCUGGUUACCCAAAAAAUGUUUUCAAGGACUUUUGCAGCCUAUCACUCUGAAAAAAAAUUGAGGAAGUCCUAUGCACUCCAUUGCACUUCAC